GCUGAUGGGGCCAUUGACAAGAAAGUCGCUUGGGAAGGCUUCUCUCCCUGUUUGCCUACAUGGAUAUCUUUGAUACAAACAGCCCAACCGGAUUACCCACCAGGGUUUUCUUGCUCUCGAAAUCCUCCUAGGCUUGCCACUAAAUUGUCCACAGUUUGGCAUCCGAGUCCAAGGAUGACAAGCCUACCUCCGUGGGUCCCUCUUGGCCUAUCCCCGCUCUUCCCUCGCCGGUGUCGAGCUGAAUCCCCCAGGGUUUCCAAUUGUGUCGUCCAAUCCCAUUCCUGACUACGGAGAACUCUUCUCCUUCAAACAGGCUAAGGGUAGGGGAGCCAAGGGGGAAAAAAGUGUCAUUCCAACGAAACAGCGAAUCACGAGGCCGAACAAGAAACACCCCACAAUCCACUUUUUCCUAGGAAGUCGACAGUUUCUCCGAGACUCCAUCUGUUUGGCGCCAGCAAAUUACAAUGUUCUUCGCUCUCUUCCACAACGUUGGCUAGUUUCCAUCAACAAUUCCAGUUUCCCAGAAGGCGAUUUCACUUUGGUUCCUUGGCGAAGCCUUAAGAGCAUCCAUCACAAGGGGGCCAUGCACGGAGCAUUAGUUAUGAAAUGCUUUUUCAGACGUGGAAAAAAUAUCCGAUCAGACGCACCUUGGAUCUACGCCGUACGUCAUUUGGCUUUUUUUCCCCCGUGUCCCAAUAGAAUUUUUGCAAAAAGGCUUUGAAAACAGAUACCCGAAACAAUAUCAGCAACAAGCAGCCACCGGAAGCACCAGCUUACAAGCUUUCCAGUAGUCAUCCGCUACACAGUGACAGCUCCCAAAGUGCCCUGUAGGAAUCCAUAGCCAUUUUUGACCAAAAAAGAACAGAGAUCUGUCUGCUGUGGAGAUCGCUCAUUCACGCUCCAGCUACUGCGGAGAUGCUCAAAGAAGUCAUUGUCGAUCUUGCACCUUCUAGCCUUGCGGAGUGCAUGAUGUGUAGGCUAAAAUUUCGGAAGACCCCUUAAAUGUAACCUCCAGGCUGUCGGCUCUGACGAUUUUGGGUUGGAAUGUAUGUUGUUGCUUCUAAUUUAAUUUGGAUAAUGGUUUAUUUAGUUAAUGCCGUUCCGAAUCUUCACGAUUUUAUAUCUACUCCACAGUAGCACAAA
rnacentral:sRNA from 1 species